UAUGAGUGCAUUCGAUUCAGGCCCGCACUGGCCAUAUGGUGAAUUCGGGGAAUUCCCGAUGGGCCU